AGUGAACGCUGGCGGUGUGCCUAAUACAUGCAAGUCGAACGGAGUGUCGCAUGGGAGAGUAAUAUAUAGCUAAUCUGCCACUUGCUGGAGGCUCACAGUUAGAAAUGACAGCUUAUACUCCAUAGCAAGGGAUGAGACUAUAUCGUAUCAGCUAGUCGGUGGGGUAACGGCCUACCGAUGCUAUGACGCGUAACGGGUCUGAGAGGAUGAUCAGUGACAUUGGAACGGAGACACGGUCCAAGCUCCUACGGGAGGCAGCAGUAGGGAAUAUUUCGCAAUGGGGGAAACCCUGACGCAGCAACGCCGCGUGGAGGAUGACACUUUUCGGAGCGUAAACGCCUUGUGUUAGGGAAGCGGUACCUAACGAAUAAGCACCGGCUAACUCCGUGCCAGCAGCCGCGGUAAUUC
rnacentral:rRNA from 1 species